GACGAACGCUGGCGGCGUGCUUAACACAUGCAAGUCGAACGGAAAGGCCCUGCUUUUGUGGGGUGCUCGAGUGGCGAACGGGUGAGUAACACGUGAGUAACCUGCCCUUGACUUUGGGAUAACUUCAGGAAACUGGGGCUAAUACCGGAUAGGAGCUCCUGCUGCAUGGUGGGGGUUGGAAAGUUUCGGCGGUUGGGGAUGGACUCGCGGCUUAUCAGCUUGUUGGUGGGGUAGUGGCUUACCAAGGCUUUGACGGGUAGCCGGCCUGAGAGGGUGACCGGCCACAUUGGGACUGAGAUACGGCCCAGACUCCUACGGGGGGCAAGAGGGGGGAAUAUUGCACAAUGGGCGGAAGCCUUAUGCCGCAACGCCGCGUGCGGGAUGACGGCCUUCGGGUUGUAAACCGCUUUCGCCUGUGACGAAGCGUGAGUGACGGUAAUGGGUAAAGAAGCACCGGCUAACUACGUG
rnacentral:rRNA from 1 species